GAUAGAUGGCUAUACUUAACGCGUAGUUGUAAAAAAAUAUAUAUGCAAAUACAUGAUUUUCAUACGAUAAGUUGCUUAUUAUUUUAUACUUUGUGGAAAACAAUUAAUAAAAUGGAAGCUUUGCUACAAUCGUGGGAUUUAAGUGAGUUACACUCGAUUUUUUGUGUAAACCAUAUAACUGACUUUGAAAUCCUUGGUGAAUUCCUUACUAAAACUCGAGAAGAGACCCAAAAAGAAAUAAUCCCUAGUGUUUGUUUACGACUUCGUUUAAAUAAAAAAUAUAAUGAAUAUAUUUCCCAUCACGAGAAGAUUAAUGUAAAACUUUUCUAAAAAUAAUAAGAGGAAUUUUUUAAAUAUUAAUAAUCCAGUG